UUCCGGUUGAUCCUGCCGGAGGCCAUUGCUAUUGGAGUCCGAUUUAGCCAUGCUAGUCGCACGGGUUCAGACCCGUGGCGAAUAGCUCCGUAACACGUGGCCAAACUACCCUAUGGAUCGGGAUAACCUCGGGAAACUGAGGCUAAUACCGAAUACCGCUCUCACGUUGGAAUUACAGAGAGCACGAAACGCUCCGGCGCCAUAGGAUGUGGCUGCGGCCGAUUAGGUAGACGGUGGGGUAACGGCCCACCGUGCCGAUAAUCGGUACGGGUUGUGAGAGCAAGAACCCGGAGACGGUAUCUGAGACAAGAUACCGGGCCCUACGGGGCGCAGCAGGCGCGAAACCUUUACACUGCACGAACGUGCGAUAAGGGGACUCCAAGUGCGAGGGCAUACAGUCCUCGCUUUUCCCUACCGUAAGGUGGUAGGUGAAUAAGAGCUGGGCAAGACCGGUGCCAGCCGCCGCGGUAAUACCGGCAGCUCGAGUGAUGGCCAAUAUUAUUGGGCCUAAAGCGUCCGUAGCUGGCCGAACAGGUCCGUCGGGAAAUCCGCUCGCUCAACGAGCGGACGUCCGGCGGAAACCAGUCGGCUUGGGACCGGAAGACCCGAGGGGUACGUCCGGGGUAGGAGUGAAAUCCUGUAAUCCUGGACGGACCACCGGUGGCGAAAGCGCCUCGGGAGGACGGAUCCGACAGUGAGGGACGAAAGCUUGGGUCACGAACCGGAUUAGAUACCCGGGUAGUCCAAGCUGUAAACGAUGCUCGCUAGGUGUGGCACUGGCUACGAGCCAGUGCUGUGCCGUAGGGAAGCCGAGAAGCGAGCCGCCUGGGAAGUACGUCCGCAAGGAUGAAACUUAAAGGAAUUGGCGGGGGAGCACUACAACCGGAGGAGCCUGCGGUUUAAUUGGAUUCAACGCCGGA
rnacentral:rRNA from 1 species